AAGCUCGUAGUUGAAUUUCGGAAUUUGUUCAUUGGUCAGGCUUAACUGUCUGUACUGGUGUGACGAAUUUCUAUCUUCUGAGGAAUCUUCAUGUCAUUAAUUUGGUGUGGGGGGGAAUCAGGACUGUUACUUUGAAAAAAUUAGAGUGUUUAAAGCAGGCUAACGUCUGAAUACAUUAGCAUGGAAUAAUGAAAUAGGACGGUUUGGUUCUAUUUUGUUGGUUUCUAGGAUCACCGUAAUGAUUAAUAGGGAUAGUUGGG
rnacentral:rRNA from 1 species